AACUCACUGUCAGAGUGUGCUACUCACAGUCCACCUCGACUUAAAUAAUAUGAGCGCUGGUUUUCAUUUGCCUUCACAAUGAAAGGAAGGAACUUUUUCGCCUGCACAGUUGACUCAAAGGAGACAGUUCAAGGAGGACGAAGGCAAGGUUUUUGCUUCCCAAGAUGUUAUUUAAUGAACUGGAGUGGUGUGGAUUACUUGUGGAUUAUUGUGAUGUUUUAAUCAGCCGUUUGGUCUCUCAUUCUGACAACACCCAUUCACUGCACAGGAUCCAUUGGUGAACAAGUGAUGUAAUGAUAAAUGUCUCAACUCAUUUAUGUCUUGGAUCGUUUAAAGCUGCGGUGUAAGGUCAUUUUCGUGGAUAUAUGACAUCAGUUCACCUAAAGUUCACACAAGCUGUGUCCAAAAGCUGAAAAAUGGAGGUAGGAAGGCGAGAAUCCAAAUCCAGUGCUGGUGAAACAUCUCGUCUGCUAAGAUGACUCUGUCUGGGCAGCAGUGGGUCAAAUUGCUCCUGGGCCUCAGUCAUCUUCAUCAUCAUUUACUGAUCAUCUUCCUUCGGUCAUUUUCCAGCAUGAUCUUUCCAGAACCUGAUCCCCAACUAUUUUACAACAGAAUAAACCAUAUUAUCAUAGGAUUAAUGAAGCAAAAAUCUUGGAUUGCAAGAAGUGCACAGAGCAUGAAAGACAAUUAAAAGCCAUCAUUAAAGAGGCCAGAAAUUCCAAGUUGGUAUGGUUCGUGGUUUAACACUCCCCAUGCAGUAAAUAUGCCUUGAACUUAGUGCCAAAUUCAGUCAUUUGUGGAUAAAAUCCACACAAACAAUCCCCAUGUACAUCCUCUGACUCAUCGUGAGAUCAGCAACAACUCUGAAAGCUCUUCCAGGGGAAUAGAACUUUAUAAUAAUAAUAAUAAUAAUAACAAUAAUAAAUUUCCUGUCUCAUGUUUGUCAUUGAGGUUAGCAUUAUAUGAAUUUAUGGCCAUGCUUUAGUUGGGGGCUAAUUGUCACUAUUGACUACUUAUUAACUGCA